GUGGGGGUGGCAGACAAAUGCAUUCGUCUUAAGCGCGAAAUAUGGGAAUGAAAGUCCCCCUCCAUU
rnacentral:tRNA from 1 species